UACGGGGGGGAGCAAGCGUUGUUCGGAUUUACUGGGCGUAAGGGGCGCGUAGGCGGCCUGUGCAAGUCAGUUGUGAAAUCUCCGAGCUUAACUCGGAACGGUCAACUGAUACUGCUCGGCUAGAGUGCGGAAGGGGCAACUGGAAUUCUUGGUGUAGCGGUGAAAUGCGUAGAUAUCAAGAGGAACACCAGAGGCGAAGGCGGCUACCUGGACAAUUGCUGACGCUCAGGCACGAAAGCGUGGGGAGCAAAAGGG
rnacentral:rRNA from 1 species